rnacentral:lncRNA from 1 species
GGGGGGGGGCAAGGGGUUUAGCUGUUAUGCUGUUAUGGGGCAUUUUAAUUCUUUGUUAUCUGUUAUUCUGAAAAUAUAUUUGCUGUUAGCUGUUAUUGUCUUAUUCUUUGUUAGCUGUUAUUGGGCUUUUAGUUUUUUUGUUAUCUGUUAUUGUGAUAAUGUAUUUGCUGUUAACUGUUAUCGAAAAUUGGAAUGUUAGAAAAAAAUUUUGACAGCCACGAAUGGACAUAUUAAAUUAGAACAAUUCUUAAUAUGACAAAAAGGAAAACAUAUGGCCAGGAAUAUCUGACAAGGAUCUCAAUUAAGGACUAGGUCCUUACAACCACUUAUCCUUUUAUAUUAUAUAGUACAUAGACUCAGCUCUUUUCAUAGCAGAACCAAAUACAUUGUACAAUGAAAGUUCCCACCAUGUACUAGGUUCCGAAGCUGCACAUACCUCAUUACAAACAAAGAUUUAUUUCGUUCAUGCCAUCGUUCCACUACUAAACUAUGUAUUCUACUUAUUAGUAGACUUGGUACAAUCAAAAACCUGAUAAAAAA